GGGGACUGCUGUGCACUGAGGAAUUCUGUCCCCUGCAAGAAGGUCAGCAGCAGUGCAAUGGAGAACCUACAGUGCAGACCUUCCAAUUCUUCAGGAGAAGUUCGAAGUCCAGAUUUGAAAGCCAAGCUCCUGAACAGGCACCAGCAGCCGAGCUGGGUAGCGGGGAUCCAGCUCUCCGCGGCCACCAUUGCAGACCAGGGGACUGAAGAAUCGGUGGGACCCUCUGAAGCUCCAAGGGGCACUGAGACUGUCCGUCUCCAGACCCCCUACAAAUAACCAGUCUGUUGGCCGGCUUGCUGCUCACCCCUGUUGACCAAAAUGGACCACUUCUGGAGCCAACACUGAGUCCAAUAGGUAACCAGCCCUUUGCCAUAAGCCAGUGUGUGGAUUUCACAGGAAAUUAAAAUGCAUGUGGAGUUUCUCUCCAGCUGUCCACACUCAGUGGUUUUAUGGUGUCUCUCUCCCACUAUCACUCCUGUAUGUUCAGGAUUUCUGCACCAUCUUCCGAAAGGCCAGGGUUGGAAGGGGCCCCUCCUCUAUAGUUAUCACAUACCAGCUUCCUUCUCUUACCAUCACUGCACCCCGUCCCCAUAAUCAUACAUAGCCUUCUUGUGGCCACACUUUGAAAAUAUGUCCCCCAACACCCUUCAUAGCUAUAUCCCAUUCUUUUUAUUUUUUUAUUUUUAAAGAUUUUAUUUAUUUAUUUGCCAGAGAGAGAGAGAGAGAGCACAGGCAGGCAGAGUGGCAGCAGAGGCAGAGGGAGAAGCAGGCUCCCCGCCAAGCAAGGAGCCCAAUGUGGGACUCGAUCCCAGGACGCUGGGAUCAUGACCUGAGCCCGAAGGCAGCCGCCUCACCAACUGAGCUACCCAGGAGUCCCCCAUUCUUGUUUUUAAAUUUAAUUUUAUUUCUUCAGUGUUACAAGAUUCAUUGUUUAUUCACCACACCCAGUGCUCCAUGAAAUACGUGCCCUCCAUAAUACCCACAUCCCAUUCUUAAGACAAAGUUAGCCCAUGUGAGGCCUUUAAUAAAACUGAAUUUCUAAAUUUGAACUUGCCAAUAGCAAGUUCACAAUAGUCCACAAUAGCCAAACUAUGGAAGGAGCCCAGAUGUCCAUGGACAGAUGAAUGGAUAAAGAUGAUGUGUUACACACACACACACACACACACACACACACAGAGAGGAAU
rnacentral:lncRNA from 1 species